rnacentral:lncRNA from 1 species
CGUGAAUCCUCUGUUCUUCUUUUGCCUUCCCCCAGAUUACAGCAUAAAAUCCCAUAGAUAUGAUAACUGCUCCAACAAUACUGCAAAAUUAAGAUUGAACUAGGCUUAUCAUUUGUGAUUAUAAAGGGAAUGGCUGACCAAAGUAAAAUAUUUGCCUUUGAAUGAUUCUAAUCAAUACUGGUAAAGGAAAAAUAUGAAAUUAAAACAUAGUUUUAGUACCUUCCCACAUGCAGAGAAUCACCUAGGAAAACGGCACUCAUGAAAGCAGCAAUGGCUAUUGAUAGUGGUUUGAAGAUUACAAUGUAGACAGGCCCCUUCAAGUGAAGGCCCCAUAUGACCACAAGAGAGUAAAAGGUUUGGAAAAUUCCCUUGACAAAUAGAGAAACUCACAUUUAGAUACUACCAAUUGUCUUCUCCUUAAGUGUAGUUUGAUCACUAAAUUUCUUACUGAGUAUAGGACCGCAAUAACUGCUACACUAGGCCUUAGCCUCCAAGAACUCAAGUUUGGUUCUGCUAUUAGGCAAACUGGUGCAGAGAUAAUGGUCCCACAUAAGUUGUACAAGAAGGCUACAAUUAUCUCAGCUGGGUAUAUCACCAUAACUUGGGCCUGGAAAGAUCAACCUAAUUAAAGUUUAGUUCUAUGUUAAAAAUUUUCUAAAGUGAGGAAUUUGCAUACGAGUAAAUAGUUUUCCAGAAGAACCACGGUCCCCUGGAAAUAUACAUGGUUUACCUGAAUAAUGUAACAGAAUGAGAAAAGAAGAUAGGCAACAGCGAGUAAGAUCCCACCAAUGGCCCAAUUUGAUUCUGAUGACUCCAGGGGCCAUUCAAGUAAAACAGAUGAUGAUGUCCCACGUGGAGAGGAAAAAACUUUGGGACCCUUGUAGAGAACAACUACUAAUGCACCUGAUAUUGAUGCUAUGGUCCCCAAGACUUUAGCUUGACUAGAUGAGCUUCUCAAGGCUACUCUUUCCAAUCUUGUUAGUCAUGGUAUCCAAGGAAAGUGAGAAAAAACAAGACUCAGGAUACCAGCAAGUCUGAGACAAAACAAUAGUAACUUCUGUACAAUUUUUGCUGGUAAUGUUAUGUCACUGUCUAUAUCUGACCAGAUAAAAUAUUCUGCAUAUGGUCACUUCUACAUUCAAAAGCUUUCAUAGCAUAAAAUUGUGAUUUUUGUCAAAUUAAACUACAAUUAUCAAAAAAAGAUUUUAAAUAUUUCUGUAUGAAAUUGAGUGAUCAGCUUUUGGUUUCUAAUUCUCAACUUCUCCAUUAUUUAUCUGUCCAUCCUUUAUUUUUGUAAUCUUCAUUGUGAGAAUGAUUUCAAGGGUACAUAUAUUUUAAUUUCAAGGCUAGUUGAAGUUUAAAGGAGAGAUGUCAUACUAGUAUGCAAGAUAAAAUGUAGAGUUUGAGAUGAUGAAGAACUGCUAGGAGAAGAAGGAAGAAACCUGGAGAGAACGGCAAGUAUGAAGGUAAUAGCUGGUGUGAGAUUGCUGACCGCAGAAGCCAUAGUUGGGGAGCUAUAUUCUAUACCCUUGUAUGCACAUAUUUGAGCUGAAAACCUGCUCGCAAAAGGAAAAGCGAUCUUGGUUUUUCUGUUAGUAUCUUCUAAUCUUUUUCAAGCACUAGAAACUGAUCACAUCCCAUAAAUAGUAAAAAGAAAGAAAUUUACAGCUCAGUUCAAUACCCAAUAAGCCCAAGAAGGAAAAUUCUAGAGACAACAUGGAACUUCAACCGGGGAAGCACUGCUCUACUGCGGACAUCAAAAGCGAACAUAGAUGUAUCAUCCAAGUGCAAAAAUUUGAAUGGAUUUGGACGCGAAGACAGCAUGUAUAUGUAAACAUAAGAAAGACAAAAGAAAAGACCUGGGAAAGAUGAAGGAUAAAGGGAGGAAAAGAAUGGUGCCAACAGCAUAAGAAUAGGCGAUGAAGAUGUAGUAGCUCAUCCCCUUCAAAGUUGCUGCUUUGAAUAGAAUGUUGACGCCUACGUUGGCGGAUUCUAAUGCAACCAUAGCUGUGAAUGGCAGGACAUCGUUGUAACAAGACCAUCUUGCCAUGAUCUUCUCUUCCCCCUCGCCUGCCUUUCACUAGUUUGAAACGGAGAAACGAUCUCUCCUAUCUCCAAAUCAGAGGCUAUACUAGGGAAUCUUUUAUCUUUUCUUUUGUCGCAUUAAACCUUCAAGGCAACAUGAUAUUCCUUGUCUUUUUAAUUAUGGUUGGUAGUGAGGUUGUUGGCACAUUCUAUUUCUUAUGGACUCUGUUUGGUCUUGAAUUGAGAUUAUGUAUAAUCGAGCAAAACUUUGAAUAUUUGUGCAUGAUAUCGACUUGCACACUUUGGUUCCCUUAUUUUCCACCUACACAUGCUCUGGUUGGAUAAUCUUUUCUUUUCCUCCAAAGCUUGACUUCAUCAGGUGUGCACGAGCCAAGUUGCUCGUCCUGAUAUAUAAUUUUAAUAAUAAAUAAUUAUUAUUUGUUAUAUUCUAAUUUCAAAAUAUAAAUAUUUUAUUAAUAAAUAUAAUUUAAAUUAAUAUAAUUAUUAAUUUAUUAAUUAAAUAAUAUCUCAAUUAAUUAAUAAAAUUUUUAAAAAAUAUUAAUUUAUACAUUAAUAAAGACUAAUUAAGGCAAGACACUCCAGCUACUGAUCACACGCUUUGUAUGCUUUCUUAGCUUUGCCAGCCGACUAUCGUUGGAAAGAGCAUUGCCACAACAAAUUACGGUGUCCCCCUUGAGUGCUUUGUUGUCUGUCGGCCCAUCUCAUCAUAUCAGGUCCAAGCUUUGAGAUCGCCAUCUUAACAACACGCCGUCGCCAAGGUGGUGCGUGGCUGAACGUGCCGCCUCCAGGAGUUCUCUUUGAGUUGAAAAUAACGUGAAGCUGAUUCGGAGGCACGUUUUUUACACCUUCGCCAUAAAAAAUUCUGAAAUAUGUUUUUUGUUUAAAGAUAUUUCAUAACUUUAAUAUUUUCAGAAAAUUUAUUUUAAAAAUAAAAUAUCUUGAAAAACAUUUGAGACUCACUUGCAUGUGUGAAGGCGCAUACAUUGUUUUUCAAGUCAAUGAAAGUUUGUGCCACAUACGGUAAUGAUUUUUUCAAUUUUGAAGCUUAUAGUUUUUUAAAUAAUCUAUAGUAUUAUAUAAAGUCAAUAACUAUAAUAAAGUCUAUUAUUUAGUUAAUGUCACGAAUUAUUCAAACACUAGUUGGUGAAUUGACAAUAAAAUAUAAAAAUAAUAAUAAAAAAAAAAAAAAAAAAAAAAAAAAAAAAAAAAAAAAAAAAAAAAAAAAAAAAAAAAUAUUUAAAANGAAGGCGCAUACAUUGUUUUUCAAGUCAAUGAAAGUUUGUGCCACAUACGGUAAUGAUUUUUUCAAUUUUGAAGCUUAUAGUUUUUUAAAUAAUCUAUAGUAUUAUAUAAAGUCAAUAACUAUAAUAAGGUCUAUUAUUGAGUUAAUGUCACGAAUUACUCAAACACCAGUUGGUGAAUUGACAAUAAAAUAUAAAAAUAAUAAUAAAAAAAUAUGAAUAUAAAAGAUAUCUAUAAUAUAUAUAAAAAUAAUAGAACUGAUUGAAUCAAUUGAUCGACAUCUAUCAUUCUCAAUUGAAUUUAUUUUUUUUACACCUUAUUAUGUCAAAACUACAUUAUUUUUAACAUUUGAAAGGUUCUUUUACUUUUAUUUCUUUCAAUAAAAAAAUACUUGAAAAUAAUAAUUUUUAACUUUUAAUGUUUAGAGGAUAGAUUUAUUUAAUAUUUAUUAAUUAUAAUUUACUAUUAUUUUUUAUCUAUAUUCUCUUAUUUUGUAUGAACUUGGUAUUUAAACAUCUCUUUUAUAUAUGAAUAUUUAAAUUUCAAUAAAUAUCUAUCAAAUUCAUUAAAUAAAAUAAAAGCAUUAAAAAGAUCUAUUCAUUUCUCAAUAUCUAUAGCACACAGUUAUCAUUGAAUAAACAAAACUGAAUUUGAUAAUCUUUAGUCAUUUUUUAUAUAUAUAAAAGAUAGAUACUACUAGAAAUUAGUAACUAUUUUAUAUUGAUAGAAUAUUUACAUUAUACUAUUGUCCUAUAUUUUAUAACAUUGUUUUAUAUUUUAUAAUUGUUUAUCUUAAUCUGCCAAUAGCACGAGUUAUAUAUUCUCUCAUUUUUUUAAUAUUUUAUUAUAUAUAUAAUAAUCUUUGACAGGAUUAUUGUCUUUUUUUAAAAAGUACUGUUUUACAACUAUAUAUGUAAGUGCAUGUUUACGGUAAUUGAAAUUAAAGCAAAUAUUUAUCUUCAAUUAAUACCAGUUUAUCUUUUUCUCUACCAAUAAAACUCAUACAUUCAUGCAAUUCAGUAAUACAAUAUACUACAACAACAAAAACCAAAAAAUAGAAACAAAUGUAUAUGGCAAAAGGAAAAGCAAACUGUCACCAUAGUUAAACAAAUUUGAUAUUUGUGUAACAGUUUAUAUUCUCUUAAUAUUUAGUUAAGUACAAAUCUUGCAUCUAGAAAGUUGAUAUACAUCAUCUAACAAAAAUGAAAACUUCCAAAUUACAAAUGUUAUUCAUUUUGUUUGAACAAUAUAUUUGUCACGACCCGGAACUCCCCAUCGGGCCCGUGACAACCGCCGCAAGGCCUCGACAGACAUUCUUCACCCCGAAUGUCGAUUGAAACCUCGCAAGGCUUAGCAUCAACUUUCGCAUCUCCCCGGUGAGCAACAGUUAUUAAAUCUCGCAUUUCAAAAAAAUCAUAAGUCAUUUUUAAAUAAGAACAAUAAAAUAUUAUUUUCUGGCUCACAGGGGUAUUUUCGUAAUUUUUCGUCAAAAAUCUCAAAACUUGCUAAAAAUGUAGUAGGUAAGCAGAAAAUAUAUAUUUAAUGAUUUAAAAACAAUUAAGUAUCUAAAACGUUCAUUUGAAAGCAAAUUGUUGACAACUAGUACUAUUCAAAAAUAAUAAAUAAAAUAUUCUAUUUUCUCAUAAAAUAAAUUUUUAUAGAAAUAUUCGUAAAUAAUUUUUCGCACAUGAAAGUAAAGUAAAAAUUGUAUGAAUAGAAAUACAGAUAACCAAAAUAUAAGUUUUGAUCUGCAAUGACACGUGGGCUCCAAUUGACCAAGAGGAUGUAAGACUGUGAACUCUUACUUUCUAUAAUGCAGUUCCGAGCUUAGUUCUCGUCCUACUCGACUAUCUACAAACUGUCCUGAGCCUGAAAAAUGUAUAGGAAGAAGGGGUGAGAUUUUAUAAUCCCAGUGAGUAAACAGAUACCAUCUAAAGUAUCUAAAGCCGAGUAAAUGGAGACAAUUAAAAUAAGUCAUCAUACUGUAAUUUCAUUACCUUUCAGUUCAUUUCAACCAAAUAAAAUCAAUCCAUAUAAAUCGAGUAAUCAACUUGGCUUAUGAAUUUCUUAAAACUUUGGCUCGUGCCAAAACUCAUACUCGGUGAUACCUUGCGCAGGGCAUCCAACCGAGUCCGCCAAGGCUGUUAAAAUUUUGUAUACACUUAAAAUAUAUUUUUAGUUUGAGAAAAAUACAGCCGUUCCUUGGCGUUGGCUGAGUUCCCCUUCACGUGGUGGUUUGGCGUGAAGUGAACCCUAAGCUUUACCCCAGGAGAUACCCUACGCGCCUCUCCGUUCGAGGUAAUAAUAUAAUGGAGUUUACCGUGCCCCUCUAAUAGGCUGGUCCACGGAACCCCCUCUGCAGUAAAUAAUUAAUAUAUACUCCACCAAUUCAAUAAAAUUCAUUCUAGCAUGGCAUGGCAAUUUAUCGCAAUCUAGCCUCUCAAGGCUGAAUACACAAUAUAAAUAAUUCUGACACCAAAAUCAGUUUAGCCAUUCAUGCUCAUAUAUUGUCAUAAGCCAUUCAAUUUAAAACCAUAAAUUUACAACACAAGCAGGCAGUCUCCAAUUACUCUAUUUUCAAAACCAAUAUUCGAUUUUUCAGAAAAUUUAUAAAAUCAUUUUAUAAAAUCACAAUUUCUCUUAAAACAUAGCAAUUUACCAUUUAAACCCAUUUUUCAUAAAAUCACACAGUUGUAUAAAACUACUCUAGAUAAUUAAGACGAUAAUAAGUUUACUCACAGUUUUAGGAGUAGAAAUACUCCUAUCUUCCGCCCUCGGGUGCAGUCUCUUACCCGAAACAAUUGACUCACCACCUAUCCAUAAUCCAUGACACAAAAUUCAAUAAAUUGUGUCAAUUUAUCAUAAAUUAUUUCAGGCUCUUAUCCAUGCGUAUGCACUAGAUAGGAUUUGAAAUGUCUAGACAAUCGCUUAAUUGCGGUGUCCGACCUAACUCGCCUAUACACGGUGUAAAUUCCUAAAAUCCCCAAUUCGACUCCAAUUCCAUCCAUUUCAAUUUCAAUUAUCCAAUUAUAUCCACAAUACCUCAAUGACUGUGAAUUUGGUCCAAUUUAUCAGUCCGGACUAUAAAUUACGCUUUUACCCCUAGUGGGUAAAAAUUUCAAUUUAUUGCACCGAAAAUUCCCAUUUAAUUUCCAACCUCAUAAUUCAUCAUUUUUCCACCCAAUUCUCUUAAAAUAAAGUCAACCUCAUCCUCACAUACCAUUGGCUAGAUUCGGCCUAGAGAAAUUCAUGGAGAAGAUAAAUAUUUUUCUUGUUGUUUUACUCAUAAACAUGCUAAACUAACACUAAACACUAACAUAGCUCAAAAUCAAAUUUAUCUAACAACUUUCUCUCUCUAAACCCAUAUGACCAGAAUUCAAAUCAUCCUCAAAUCACAUGAUUCAACCAUGAAAAAUGAUGGAAAAUGCAUGGGAAAGGUAAAGCACAAGACAAAUUUAAGAAAUGUUACCUUUUUUCACUUGAUUUUUGAAUUUCCACCUAUUUUCCCUUUAAAUUUCUUAGCUAGGGUUUUAUUUUCUCCUUUCUCUCUCUUGUUUCUUGCUUGGCCGAAUGUUGAAGAAGAAGAAUGGGUGGGCUGAUUUUUUUAUGCCUUUUUUAUUGUUUAAUGAAAUAAUAUUAUUUUAUUCAUAUUUUAAAUAUUUUAUUAAUUCAUUUUUUUUUCUAGCCAUCCAUUUGUCCUACUUUUUCCACCAUGCAUUCCCUUUGACUUAUCCAAGUCUUAAGUGAAAUUUCCAGAUUUUUCCAAAGUUUUGGUGGAGCAAAUUUUUCAAAAUUACACUUUUGCCCCCGAACUUUUCAAAAAUUACAUUUUUGCCCCAAAAAUUGAAAAUUUGCCAUAAUGCAUAAUUUGCACUCCUCAUACUCAUUUCACACUCCAAAUAAUUAAAUUUGAUCAAAAUCCUUUCAAAAAUUAAAUUUUCGAUUUCGGAUGGCAAAAUUACCAUUUUACCCUUUUUCUCCAAAUUAUACCGAAAUUAAAAUUUUUCACUUCUAAACCUCAAAUCUUACUCCAAUAAGUCAAAUGGGGCCAAAAAUCUUUUCUAAAAAUUUCCAUUUUGUCCUUAGCUGGCAAAUGACCAUUUUGCCCCUAGAUAGCGAAAAGUUCGGUUUGUCUUCAAAUUGAUCCUCGAACUUCGAAUCACCAUAUUAAACCAUUCUGGGACUUUAAAAUUCUUAAUUUCAUCGUAAAUUCUCUAUUUGAUCUAGUUCGAGGUUUAAAUCAACUUUGUUGUACCUCUAGGUACAAUACCGACUUUUGUAAAUUUUUUUUUUUGGGACUCUCUUAGCAUGCAAACAUGCUAUCCAUCACAUGUAUGUCAUGACAAAUAUUUUUAUAGAGUCGGGCUUGUCAUCUUCUCCCCCACUUGGAUCAACCAUAUGAUCCUUCUUGAUGACUGAUUUCGACAUCCGGCUAAAUAUUAAUAUUUUAAGAUUAUUUCAUUAAUAAAAUAUUAUUUUAUUCUAAAAAUUUUAUCUUGUCUCCUUGGUACCCAAAAUACCUUAUUACGCCUCACUUGACUUCCAAAUCGCCUUUUAUCUCACAAAUUCUCCUCCGAUAAAAUUAUUAUUAUUUUAUUGUUAUUUUCUCACUUGCGGAAUAUUUUAUCCUAAACUACUCCUUUCGUCUUUUAUCACUUUUAAAUAUUUUAAUUGACCUCAAUUUGCAUUCGAUCAACUUUAUUUAUCACCAUAUCAAAGUAUGGGGUAUUUCAAUAUUUUUAAUGAAAAAAAUUACUAGAUGUUUAAUAGAAUUAUUAUCUUCUUUGCUUAAGUAUUGUUUUAAAACCAUAUAUUUAGAAACUUUUAGUGAUUGAAAUCAAAGCAAAUAACUAUAUUCAAUUAAUAUCAAUUUAUCUUUUUGUUAUUAGUAAAAACCAUACAUUUAUACUGUUGAUUAAUACAAUAUAAUUUUUUCUACAAACUCUUUUGAAGUACCAAAUUGAAGUUCAUUCCAACAUAAUAAAUAUAAUCUAAUAUAUAUAAUAGUGUGCUAAUAGUUUUUUUUAUAAAAAAUAAAUAAAUAAAUAAAACUCACAACAGACCAAUUGCUUGUAUAUAAAACAUUUCUUAUGCAAUUUGCCAGCCAUACGAAGGCAUUUGUUUAUGUUUCAACACCACGUGAUGCUUUUGUCCAAAAAUUAAUCCAAAAAGAGACACAUAUUUUAAAACAUAAGAAUUCUCAACUAACUUGUUUCAUGUAUUCAAGAAGACAAAUCCUUCCUUGUUGGAGGGCCCUUCCUCUCUCCUUAGCAGGUGCAACUGAUUCAUUAACCAGAAGAGGCUAUUGCCCCAAGCUGUGCUUGUCAAUCCAUGAACUGAAAUGGUUCAACCAAAAGAAACAAGCUAAAUUAAUCUCAACUCUGAUCUAAGAAACUUAUUAAACCUUUUGAUUCCCAUUCUUCUGCAGGGAUAGCAUUCCAAUGAUGAGGGAAGAAGCAUUGAGCCAAUAAGCUACAUUUCUUCAUCGUUGUGGCUUUGCAACAAAGGGACCUUACAACUUGACAAGGGUCCAAAGCUUCUUGACCCAGAGUCAUAGUGAGUCAUUUCUUCCUCUUGUGCUUUUCCCCAUAGUACAGCAUAGAGCCCAGCUGAUAAGAUCAAUGCUCCAAUGACACUGCAACAUUACCAUUGAAUUAUGCUUGUCAAAGAGUGAUUGUAGAAGGAAUGGCCAACCAAAAGUACAGAUGUUUGCAGCAUGUUUGAAAUGGCUCUCCUAAUAACUAGUAAUAUUGCACAACUUAAAGAGAUGGCUUUAAUACCUUCCAAGAUACAAUGCAUCACCAAGGAAAAAGGCACUCAUAAUGGCUGCAAUGACAAUUGACAAUGGCUUGAAUAUUGCAACAUACACAGGCCCCUUCAAGCGUACACCCCAUGAGUGUACACCACAGCUGAAGUUUAAUGCAAAAAGACCCUAAACAAAUUAAGAAAAAGGAACAUUUAGAUAGUGCAAAUUAUCUCCUUACAAUUGUCGUUGAUACUAAUUUCUUACCGAGUAUAGGAUAGAAGCAGCUACUAUACUAGGUGUUGGUCUCCAGGAACUCAUAUUUGAUUCUGCUAGAAAGCAUACUGGCACAGAUAAAAUGGUCAGAGACAAGUUGUAGAUGAAAGUCACAAUCAUCUCUUCUGGGUAUAUCUUCAUAAUUUGGGACUGUAAAACAAUCAACAAUUCAAGUUUAGUUUAUGCGAAAGUUUUCUAUCUUAGAAAAUGCUUAUAAUUGAACAGUUUUCUGGAGGAACCAGGGGGCCUAGCAAACUAGUUUUACCUGAAUGACAUACCAGAAUGAAGAUAAAAGAUAUGACUCGGCUAGUAAGAGCCCACCAAACACCCACUUUGAUUGGGAUGAUCCGAGAGGCUGUUGAAGCAAUACAGAUGAUGAUGACCAACGUGAAGAAGAAAGAACUUCGGGGCCCUCGUAGAGAACAACUACUGAUACACCAGACAUUGAUGCUAUGGUGCCAAUGAUUUUAGCUCGAGUGCUUGAGCUUCUCAAUGCUACUUUCUCCAUCCUGGUUUGGAAAGACGGGAGAAAGGAAAGAGAAAAAUUAAGGGACUGAAGGCACUAACAUAAACAUGAAACAAUAGAAAAUGUUACAUAAACCUUUCCACUUCUUAAAUUCCAAAUGGCCAUCCAUUCCCAUUCUGAAAUUAAAAAUCUGAUUAUUUUAGUCUCAUCAUUGGUGGGAAGUUGUAAAAAGUUGUAAAAAUCAUAUUGCUUGUAAAAAGUUGUAAGAUGGGAUGGUUAAAAAUGCAUAGGUUUCUGUCAACUGAUCAAAAGCAGGAUUUGGCGGGCCUUCUCAAACCACAGGAGAACAUAAUAGUGAAAAGACAAACAUUGAGUAACAAAACUAACGGGGCUAAAGUUCUGCAAGCUUCGGACAAGAAGGCAAGCCAUCAUUGUCUGAUGCCACAUCGUCUUUCAUUAAUGAAAGAGAGCAUUGGCAGGUGUCUUUGCUUAAGAUAGAUGACGUUGUUAACGCUUCAUUCACACUAAGACAAUCCAUCAUUCCACCAUUCCAUACAGUGCAAUCUUUCAUCACAAUAAGCAAUUUGCUAAAUCCGGAAACUUGGAUUUUCCUGUCAAAUGGUGAUCAUCUCAUCGUCGGCGUCACACUUCAAGUAUGCUGCUGUGUACACUUGACGUUUUUAAUCAAAAGGAUAACAAAUACAGAUGAUGCGUUGUCUCCGACUUAUUCCAAGUUCUAUGAAACUCCUUUAAGUCUUUUGGUCUCUGCAUUGCAUUUUUAUUGAACAAAUUACUUAAUGAUUCAGAAAGCUUGAAAUGAAUCAUUGAAGACCACUACUAUUUUCCAUCCAAUCUCUGUGCUACUGUCGGAUUUUUUUGGUAGGAAUCGGAUGCACACAACAUAACCAAUGGUUAAGCUGAACUAGAAAAACAGAGUAAGUGAAUAUUAUUUUGAUCAAAGUAAUGGCUGUCUAAUAUUUCCUUGCAAAUAACAGGGGAACUGAGACUUUCACAUUUCAAAGCCAGAUUACAAUGCAUAUACAUAACGCCAUCAUCAUAACGGGGAGGGAUUUUUUAAUGCAACAUAAUCUACCUAGAGUUUUCCUAGGAUAUGGAAGCCACGUGGCUCUUACACAAAAGAAGACUAUAUCAUUUCACUAGGUCUGUGGCAGACAUAGCUGUAUUUUUCAUCUGUCACGUACAUAAAUUUCAAGGAACUCUUUUGCCUCUAAAAAUAUCUUCAAAAUGAUCUCAAAGUUCUAACAGCUACGUAUCUUCCAGCUUAUGGCUUUGCAACAAAGGAACCUUACCACUGGACGAGGGCUUCAAGCUGUUUAUCCCAGAGUCAUCGUGAAUCCUUUGUUCUUCUUUUGCCUUCCCCCAGAUUACAGCAUAAAAUCCCAUAGAUAUGAUAACUGCUCCAACAAUACUGCAAAAUUAAGAUUGAACUAGGCUUAUCAUUUGUGAUUAUAAAGGGAAUGGCUGACCAAAGUAAAAUAUUUGCCUUUGAAUGAUUCUGCUCAAUCCUGGUAAAGGAAAAAUAUGAAAUUCAAAGAUAGUUUUAGUACCUUCCCACAUGCAGAGAAUCACCUAGGAAAACGGCACUCAUGAAAGCAGCAAUGGCUAUUGAUAGUGGUUUGAAAAUUACAAUGUAGACAGGCCCCUUCAAGUGAAGGCCCCAUAUGACCACAAGAGAGGAAAAGGUUUGGAAAAUUCCCUUGACAAAUAGAGAAACUCACAUUUAGAUACUACCAAUUGUCUUCUCCUUAAGUGUAGUUUGAUCACUAAAUUUCUUACUGAGUAUAGGACCGCAAUAACUGCUACACUAGGCCUUAGCCUCCAAGAACUCAAGUUUGGUUCUGCUAUUAAGCAAACUGGUGCAGAGACAAUGGUCCCACAUAAGUUGUACAAGAAGGCUACAAUUAUCUCAGCUGGGUAUAUCACCAUAACUUGGGCCUGGAAAGAUCAACCUAAUUAAAGUUUAGUUCUAUGUUAAAAACUUAAAAAUUUUCUAAACUGAGGAAUUUGCAUACUAGUAAAUAGUUCUCCAGAAGAACCAGAGUCCCCUGGAAAUAUACAUGUUUUACCUGAAUAAUGUACCAGAAUGAGAAAAGAAGAUAGGCAACAGCGAGUAAGAUCCCACCAAUGACCCAAUUUGAUUCUGGUGACUCCAGGGGCCAUUCAAGUAAAACAGAUGAUGAUGUCCCACGUGGAGAGGAAAAAACUUUGGGACCCUUGUACAGAACAACUACUAAUGCACCUGAUAUUGAUGCUAUGGUCCCCAAGACUUUAGCUUGACUAGAUGAGCUUCUCAAGGCUACUCUUUCCAAUCUUGUUAGUUAUGGUAUCCAAGGAAAGUGAGAAAAAACAAGACUCAGGAUACUAGCAAGUCUGAGACAAAACAAUAGUAACUUCUGUACAAUUUUUGCUGGUAAUGUUAUGUCACUGUCUAUAUCUGACCAGGUAAAAUAUUCUGCAUAUGGUCACUUCUACAUUCAAAAGCUUUCAUAGCAUGAAAUUGUGAUUUUUGGCAAAUUAAACUACAAUUAUCAAAAAAAGAUUUUAAAUAUUUCGGUAUGAAAUUGAGUGAUCAGCUUUUGGUUUCUAAUUCUCAACUUCUCCAUUAUUUAUCUGUCCAUCCUUUAUUUUUGUAAUCUUCAUUGUGAGAAUGAUUUCAAGGCUACAUAUAUUUUAAUUUCAAGGCUAGUUGAAGUUUAAAGGAGAGACGUCAUACUAGUAUGCAAGAUAAAAUGUAGAGUUUGAGAUGAUGAAGAACUGCUAGGAGAAGAAGGAAGAAACCUGGAGAGAACGGCAAGCAUGAAGGUAAUAGCUGGUGUGAGAUUGCUGACCGCAGAAGCCAUAGUUGGGGAGCUAUAUUCUAUACCCUUGUAUGCACAUAUUUGAGCUGAAAACCUGCUCGCAAAAGGAAAAGCGAUCUUGGUUUUUCUGUUAGUAUCUUCU